UGAAACUUUUGCUGGGUAAUAUUUUGUAAUCAACAUUUAUCUCUUUAAUAUACCUCCAAAAGAAAUUAUCAUCCAUGAUUGCACUUGCUGUCUAAAACGUAAAGAUGCUAUUUCUUUUGUAUUUUGUCGAGUGUUUUCUUAUGCGCAAGGUGCUAUAGUUCAGUCGCAUCAUGAUUGCCAUCAUUUUGUGUUUCCAGCAUUUUCUGUAAAUAUUUACAGGAAAUCAUGCCUUUCCUUUUAUAGGGUACACAUUUUUUUAUCGCCAAGAUGAUUGGGUUAUGUAGCACUAAGGUUAGUAGCGCCUUAAUGGUCUUUCUUAGAAAAGAUAAGAGGAUGAGAAGCAACUUAUUGUAUUUGCUGCCAAGGGGACAAAUCAUCAUGCAAUAUUCAGAUGUCUUAUUUCAGAUCAAUGUUUGAUUCAAAUAAGAAGUAUAAUUAGCGAUUUGUUUAAGUUUCUAUUGGAGAGAUAUUUGCAAUACAACUAAGUUCUCUUAGUGCUUUUCCUUUUUCCCUUGAAAUCAAAUUUAUCUACCCAAGUCAUGUACUAGGGUUUAAGGACUCUGAAGGCGACAUCCAAGAUGCUUUUUAUGUUCCCAAAUUACAUGAAAUGCUUCUCUCUUUAUAAGCUGAGGGCUGCCAAAUCUUACUGCAGUUAAAUUAUAAUUUUUAUUGUGCACUCCGACUGUUAGUUGCCGUCGUUUUCAAGUUUUUUCGAAGCAAUCCGGAGCCAUUAUUAACUUUUGUUAUAAUAUUUGCUAGAUUAAUGUUUCUAUUAUAAUCAUUCAGUGAUAUAAUCUCACUGGCAUCCUAUUGAUACAUUUUUGAUUUGGAAAUACAUGAAAUUAAUCUUUCAAUAGUCGCUAAUUCAACAACAUUUUUACUAUAUGCGUUCAUUGGGAUUAUAACACAUGCAUCUUCUCAAGUUUUUUUUCUUACUAUGAAUUUCUUAUCCAGGAUCACCCGAGUCCAACACUAUAUUAUGUUGCAGCUGAAUUUGGGCUUUCCAUCGUGCUAACUUCUUUUGAGAGUCGAGUGAAUGCAAGACUUUGAAGCAGACAACUAUAGAUUCUGACUCGUGGUCUCCUCCCGGUGACAACCUAGCUCCCACAUAUCCAAGGUGGCGCC